GAUUUAUUCCAAUCAAUGCUAAAGACGUAAUUAUGUACAUUUAGUCCUAAUUAAUCACCAAUUUAGUCCAAUUAAUCACAUUAAAUCUCAUGCUGAUGCAAAGAAGAAAUUAAAUGGGGAAUUAGGGUUAGAAGUGGGACCAUGGAGUUCUUGAACUCAGAAGCUUCUCAUCUCCCUCGUUCAUGAACAAACGGCACCGCGGAGAGUCUCCAUUUCUCCGAUCAAAACGGCGGCGAUUCUCUCCUCUAAUCUCCGAUGUAACUCCGUCGCUCAUCUCACUCAUCUCUUCUCUCAUUUCUCCCUGACUCACUUUCUCCGAUUAACUCUCUGUCUAAUACUCCUCCGUUCAACCAAUCGCCUCUCUCUUUCAUUCUUUGCGUUUGCAAUCCCUGUUUGUGUCGAUGUUGUACGUGCGCCGUUGUGACAGAGUUCAGAUGGAUAAAGCUUCAUUGAUGCUUGUUGAAAUUGAAGACAAAUCCGAUUCGGUGACGGUAAUGAUCAUUGUUUUUCUACAGAUUUGAAGAGGAAGGAGUUCGAUUGGAUUGUCGUAGACGAAGUUCAGAACAAUGCGAAGACGACGUCGUUGUUCGCGGUGGAGAAGAAGCUGCAGAUUACGUGCCGCUGCGUUUUUUGUGUUGGAGUCGAUCAGAAAUGAUGACGAAGAUUGUGGUUAUAGCGGAUUCGAAGAUGCCGGUGACGAAGAAUUGGAGUUCAGUUUGUAGAUGAAGAUGAACGUUGGAGGUUGUCGAAGGAAGAGUUUUGUUGAGGAUUAUUGUUCUUGGAGAUUAAAGGUGAUGGUUAUGGUUGCAGAAGAUUGAUUAUGGUCGAAUCUGUGAAGGUUGAAUCGAUGUUGAUGAAGGUGAGAUUGAAGAAGGUUUGGAGAGGAUUUCGGUUAAAGGUGUAAUGAAUCGAGAGAGAAAGAUGAAGAAGUUUGUUACCGUUUUUGUUGAAUUUUUGUGUAGAAGAUGAAGAUGGAUUUUGUGGUGAUGAUGAAUGAAUAGAAGAGGAUUUUGGUUAGAGAGUGAUGGUAGCGUACGAUUGAAGAAGAGAGGUUCAGGGAGAUUGAAGUUUGUUACAUGCUGUUACGAUAUCUGUUAUGAAUUUUCUGCUCUUCCACUUUCGUGAAUUCGUUCUCCCGGACUCCAUCGUGAAUACUGAGAUGAAGAGCCCCCUCUGUUGAAACUGAUUUGUUCCUUUUAUAAGCUUUUUCCUCUUUUGCUAUUAGUGAUUUUCUUCCAUGUUCUUCUCUGCUGCAGGUGCAGGGUCGGUUUAAUGUUGAGUGGUUUUAGCUGCCGGUCAGCGUGAAUGAAUGUUUGGGAUGUAAUAAAUGGACCCUGUGAUUUGUAUACUGUUUCUUAUUUUUUUGGAUGAAUUUAAUAUUUUUGUAAUGGAUAGUAUACCUUUUAACUUCAAUGAACAAAAUCCCCCCAAUUAUUCAAAACAAUCUUCUCUUUUAAAUUGAAUUUGAAGUCCCAAACUCCUUUGGCAAAUGUCUUGCAUACCGUCCCAUAGUCAUGGCGUGAACCCAACAAAACGUGUGCCAACACAACAAAACUUUGAACUAAUGACAUGAGUCUUGAAACUUGUGCACCGAAAGACCAUAUGAAUGAACCUUCCAUUUUGGCAAGCUUGAAUUAAUUCUCGACAAAUCAGAUGCUUAAGAACAAAUCGAUUAAUAUUGAACACAAAUCUAAAUUCAUGUCAUUAAGUAGUCUCUUGAAUCGACACAACUUUAUACCUCAUACUUGCACGAGAAU